UGGGGAAUCUUGGACAAUGGGGGCAACCCUGAUCCAGCCAUGCCGCGUGAGUGAUGAAGGCCUUAGGGUCGUAAAGCUCUUUCGCCUGUGAAGAUAAUGACGGUAGCAGGUAAAGAAACCCCGGCUAACUCCGUGCCAGCAGCCGCGGUAAUACGGAGGGGGUUAGCGUUGUUCGGAAUUACUGGGCGUAAAGCGCACGUAGGCGGACCAGAAAGUUGGGGGUGAAAUCCCGGGGGCUCAACCCCGGAACUGCCUCCAAAACUAUUGGUCUAGAGUUCGAGAGAGGUGAGUGGAAUUCCAAGUGUAGAGGUGAAAUUCGUAGAUAUUUGGAGGAACACCAGUGGCGAAGGCGGCUCACUGGCUCGAUACUGACGCUGAGGUGCGAAAGUGUGGGGAGCAAACAGGAUUAGAUACCCUGGUAGUCCACACCGUAAAACGAUGAAUGCCAGUCGUCGGGUAGCAUGCUAUUCGGUG
rnacentral:rRNA from 1 species